rnacentral:rRNA from 1 species
UACGUAGGGCGCAAGCGUUGUCCGGAAUUAUUGGGCGUAAAGAGCUCGUAGGCGGCUUGUCGCGUCGGCUGUGAAAACCUGGGGCUCAACCCCGGGCCUGCAGCCGAUACGGGCAAGCUAGAAUUCGGUAGGGGAGACUGGAAUUCCUGGUGUAGCGGUGAAAUGCGUAGAUAUCGGGAGGAACACCAGUGGCGAAGGCGACUUCCUGGCCCGUUCUUGACGCUGAGGCGCGAAAGCUAGGGGAGCAAACGGG